rnacentral:rRNA from 1 species
GUAAGCUACUAAGAGCAAAUGGUGGAUGCCUUGGCUAGUAGAGGCGAUGAAAGACGUGCCAGGCUGCGAUAAGUCUCGGGGAGCCGUCAAGGGGCUUUGAUCCGGGAAUUUCUGAAUGGGGCAACCCAGUAUAUAGUGAUAUAUACUACCGCAAUGCGGAGCUAACGUUGGGAAUUGAAACAUCUUAGUACCAACAGGAAAAGAAAUCAAAAGAGAUUACGCUAGUAGCGGCGAGCGAACGCGUAAGAGGGCAAACCGUUAGUUUACUAACGGGGUUGUAGGACUGCAACAUAGACUUAAACAAACUAAUAGAAUAACCUGGAAAGGUUGGCCAUAGAGGGUGAUAGCCCCGUAUAUGAAAGUGCGUUUAUACUUAGCAGUAUCCUGAGUAGGGCGGGACACGUGAAAUCCUGUCUGAAGCUGGGGAGACCACUCUCCAACCCUAAAUACUACUACUAGACCGAUAGUGCACAAGUACCGUGAGGGAAAGGUGAAAAGAACUGAGGUGAUCAGAGUGAAAUAGAACCUGAAACCAUUUGCUUACAAUCAUUCAGAGCACGAUUCUUUAUGACGUGUGAUGGACUGCCUUUUGCAUAAUGAGCCUGCGAGUUGUGGUGUCUGGCGAGGUUAAGGAAACCCGGAGCCGUAGCGAAAGCGAGUCUUAAUAGGGCGUAUAGUCAGAUGCUGCAGACCCGAAACGAUGUGAUCUAUCCAUGAGCAGGUUGAAACUGGUGUAAGAGCCAGCGGAGGACCGAACAGACGGCCGUUGAAAAGGCUCCUGAUGACUUGUGGAUAGGGGUGAAAGGCCAAUCAAACAUCGUGAUAGCUGGUUCUCUCCGAAAUAUAUUUAGGUAUAGCGUUGUGUCGUAAUUAUAAGGGGUAGAGCACUGAAUGGGCUAGGGCAUAUACCAAUGUACCAAACCCUAUCAAACUCCGAAUACUUAUAAUGUAAUCACAGCAGUCAGGCGGCGAGUGAUAAAAUCCGUCGUCAAGAGGGGAACAACCCAGACUAACAGCUAAGGUCCCUAAAUCUCAUUUAAGUGGAAAACGAUGUGGAGUUACUGAAACAACCAGGAGGUUGGCUUAGAAGCAGCCAUCCUUUAAAGAAAGCGUAAUAGCUCACUGGUCUAGUGAUUCUGCGCGGAAAAUAUAACGGGGCUAAAAUGAGUACCGAAGCUUUAGACUUAGUUUUUAACUAAGUGGUAGGAGAGCGUUCUAUUCAGCGUUGAAGGUAUACCGGUAAGGAGUGCUGGAGCGGAUAGAAGUGAGCAUGCAGGCAUGAGUAGCGAUAAUUGAUGUGAGAAUCAUCAACGCCGAAAACCCAAGGUUUCCUACGCGAUGCUCGUCAUCGUAGGGUUAGUCGGGUCCUAAGCAAAGUCCGAAAGGGGUAUGCGAUGGAAAAUUGGUUAAUAUUCCAAUACCAAUUAUUAUGUGCGAUGGAAGGACGCUUAAAGUUAGUGGAGCUAGCGGAUGGAAGUGCUAGUCUAAGGGUGUAGGUUGAGUUAUAGGCAAAUCCGUAACUCUUUAUCCGAGACCUAAAAGGCUCAUGACGCUCUUCGGAGUAGAUUGAGAAUCCAUGAUACUAUCGAGCCAAGAAAAGUUUCUAAGUUUAGUAAUAAUUGCCCGUACCGUAAACCGACACAGGUGGGUGGGAUGAGUAUUCUAAGGCGCGUGGAAGAACUCUCUUUAAGGAACUCUGCAAAAUAGCACCGUAUCUUCGGUAUAAGGUGUGCCUAACUUUGUAUUAAGAUUCACUCCCAAAGCAAAGAAGGUUACAACAAAGAGUCCCUCCCGACUGUUUACCAUAAACACAGCACUCUGCUAACACGUAAGUGGAUGUAUAGGGUGUGACGCCUGCCCGGUGCUCGAAGGUUAAUUGAUGAUGUUAGCUAUGCGAAGCAUUUGAUCGAAGCCCGAGUAAACGGCGGCCGUAACUAUAACGGUCCUAAGGUAGCGAAAUUCCUUGUCGGUUAAAUACCGACCUGCAUGAAUGGCGUAACGAGAUGGGAGCUGUCUCAAAGAGGGAUCCAGUGAAAUUGUAGUGGAGGUGAAAAUUCCUCCUACCCGCGGCAAGACGGAAAGACCCCGUGGACCUUUACUACAGCUUGACACUGCUACUUGGAUAAAGAUGCGCAGGAUAGGUGGGAGGCUUUGAUCCAUAGACCCUGGUUUAUGGUGAGCCAUUGUUGAGAUACCACUCUUCUUUAUUCGGGUAGCUAACUAGCCUAAGUUAUCCUUAGGUAGGACAAUGUCUGGUGGGUAGUUUGACUGGGGCGGUCGCCUCCCAAAAUGUAACGGAGGCUUACAAAGGUUGGCUCAGAACGGUUGGAAAUCGUUCGUAGAGUAUAAAGGCAUAAGCCAGCUUAACUGCGAGACAUACACGUCAAGCAGAGACGAAAGUCGGUCUUAGUGAUCCGGUGGUUCUGUGUGGAAGGGCCAUCGCUCAAAGGAUAAAAGGUACCCCGGGGAUAACAGGCUGAUCUCCCCCAAGAGCUCACAUCGACGGGGAGGUUUGGCACCUCGAUGUCGGCUCAUCGCAUCCUGGGGCUGGAGCAGGUCCCAAGGGUAUGGCUGUUCGCCAUUUAAAGCGGUACGCGAGCUGGGUUCAGAACGUCGUGAGACAGUUCGGUCCCUAUCCUCCGCAGGCGCAAGAGGAUUGAGGAGGUCUGCCCCUAGUACGAGAGGACCGGGGUGGACGGACCUCUGGUGCAGCAGUUGUCGACCAACGGCACGGCUGCCUAGCUACGUCCGGCACGGAUAACCGCUGAAAGCAUCUAAGUGGGAAGCCGUCUCCAAGAUGAGUCCUCUUUCCGGUAAGGGCCCAGGCAGAACACCUGGUCGAUAGGCCGCAGGUGCAAGGCGUGCGAGCGCCUCAGCCGAGCGGUACUAAUAGCCCGAGCUCUUCUUCCA